rnacentral:lncRNA from 1 species
ACACCUGCAGCACAUGAAGUUCCCAGGCUAGGGGUUGAAUUGGAGUUGCAGCUGCUGGCCUACACCACAGCCACAGAGACAUGGGAUCCGAGCCACAUCUGCGACCUACACCAUAGCUCACACAAUGCUGGAUCCUUAACUCACUGAGCAAGGCCAGGGAUCGAACCCUCAUCCUAAUGGAUACCAGUCAGGUUCGUUAACCACUGAGCCACGACAGGAACUCCAUCAAUUAUACCAAUUUGCUACUGCAACAGUAUAGCACAAGUGCCCACCUCACGAUACCCUUACCAAUACUGGUAUAACAGACCUGUGACAGUUUGAUGCCAAAAACGGUAACUUAUUUAAAUUUACAUUUCUUUGAUUUUAAAGGGUUGGAUAUUUUUCAUAUGUUUAUUGGUCAUUGGUACUUCUUAUUUUGAGACAUGUUCAUAUACUUUUCCCAUUAAUGUUUCAGGGCCACAAUUUGUUUUUUUUAGGACUGCAACUAAUAACAAUAUUCGUUUUUUUGUGUAUAAAUGGAUGUAUUUAGAUCCAGAGGAAAAAAAGACUCAGAAAAAUAAUAAGCUACUGAGAUUACAGUGGUGGCUAAAGAGAUUCUUAACCUCGUGGGAAAGUUUUUAAUUACCUAUGUAUUUAACUGAUUAAAAAAUUGAUUUUUUAAAAAAGAAUAUUCUGGUUCGUUGUAUGACUUCAGCUGCUGAUUUUGCUUCUGUAAGAUGUGAGCAGCUCUUGGCUCUUGGAUGGCAGUCACUGCAAGGUUCAGCAACCUUCCCUUCGUGUAACUGCAGUGCUGUAGCUCAGGGAGGUCCACUCGGAUGAAAGCUGUGGGUCAUCCACAAGAUUUGUGGUACCUGCCUAUAGAGCAGAACUGAUGGGAGAUUCUGCAGCUUGGAUAGCUCAGAAAUCCCAUCAUGGGGGUGGGGAAUGCAAGGAGCAGAGACCACUGCAUGCGGUCCCACCACUGACCACCUCUACUUUAGAUACUUCGAUUUUACAAUCGUGCUAUAAUAUUUUAUUUUAUUUUGGGGGGGCGGGUAACAGAGAACAAGACAGCUUUAUUGCUUUGCCAGGCAAAGGGGGCCACAGCAGGCUAAGGCCUUAAAGACUCUGCCCCUUGUGCUAUCAUAUUUUAAAUGAGCCCGGGGGCAGAGAGAAUAGGGUGAAACACAGCAAAUCAAUUAGCACUCAGGCAAAUUUUAAAACAAGAAGCCCAUUGAAUGUGAUCUAAAACAAAAUAGGAAAUACAUGCAAGGGCCCAUAGCUAUUUAAUGAUAUUUAUAGUUAACGGUCACUUGAUUUCAGUAAACUGUUGUCUACUUUGUGUAAGUGAUUUUGAGAUAGUCUCUCCUAGUGAGUCAGUCUCUCCCUGAAACCAGAGACAACAUUAUUUUGUUAAAUGAUGACAGUUGCUAAAUUGUUUCUGUCAGUUAAUGUGCUAUUAGCUUAGCCACUUCACAAGGGUGUUCUUUCUGAGAUGAAGAGGGCGUAUUUUACAUGGGGAUAGUCUUUUUAAUCACUUCAAGGCAAACGUCUCUGCUCAACCAUGUAGGUGAUAAGGAGACAUCUGGAGACGCAGGUCCUAACUUUAUGCAUCUUGAGAGGCUGCCAAGGGACGGCGACCUUGAAAAGCCAGGUAAGAAGCUAACAUGUUUUUAAACACCUAAGGGACAGGAAGAGAAGGGUGAGAUACAGCGCAUUUAGCAGAGAGGGCAAAUUUUCCUAGGCUUUAACUGCAGCAAAUGCCCUGUGGUCAGUUUGAAAUGACUAUUAUUACGAAGAUCAGCACAGGCUCCACCCCUUUGCUAUAGUAAUCCUUCGAUUUCAGUCCCACCCCUGAGAGGGCAGACUCACCAAAUUUUAGCUUUCCACUCCAUCGUCAUCAAAAUAAUAGCUGCAAUCUUACUAAGCACUUAAUAAGAGCUCAAAAUCAGUAGGUAUUAUAAUUGUUAUUCUUAUGUUUCGGGCACUGGUACUUUUGUUAAGACACUUUACAGAUGACAGAACUGAGCUCAUAGUUGUGAAGUGACCUGCUGAAUGUCAGGUGGCUGCAGGUGGCGAGGCUGAGAUCAGAGCAGAGUUCUGCCAGAGAACAGAGGCCAGAUGCUCAGGGGAGACGCUGUGUUACCCGCUUGCCCUGUGACCUGCUCCUCAUGACCGUCCAUCCACGGAACCACAUUCCUGCUCUGCUACAGGAGGCAGCAUGGUGGAUGCCCUAAGGGUCCCUGUCCAAAUCCUCAGAAUCUGUGAAUUUACUAUGUUACAUGGUAAAGGGGAAUUAAGGUUGCAGAUGGAAAUAAAGUACAGAGAUUAUCCUGGAUGAUAAUGUGAUCACAAGUGAGAGGGAGGCAGACUGUGUGAUGAAGCAGCAGCUUAGAGCGAUUCGAUGUGAGAAAAUGCAACUGGCCAUUGCUGCCUUUGAAGAAAGAAAGAGAGAGAGAGAGAGACCACAAGCCAAGGAGAAAAGGCAGCCUCUAGAAACUGGAAAUGGCAAAGGAGGGGCUUCUUUCUGUGAAGGUUAAUUUUAUGGUCAAUGUAACUGGGCCAUAGGGUGCCUAGAUUGAACAUUAUCCUGGAAACCGGAUAUUCAUGGGAAUUGAGGAGACUCUUGAGAAAAGAUCUUAAAAUAGUAUCAAUGGUUGAGUAUUAGCAUCUACAGAAAUGCUUAACAUGAAAGAAGGAACCAGCAAGGAGAGUUCCCAUCAUGACU